CCUACGGGAGGCUGCAGUGGGGAAUAUUGGGCAAUGGGCGCAAGCCUGACCCAGCAACGCCGCGUGAAGGAAGAAGGCUUUCGGGUUGUAAACUUCUUUUGUCAGGGACGAAGCAAGUGACGGUACCUGACGCAUACGCCACGGCUAACUACGUGCCAGCAGCCGCGGUAAUCCGUAGGUGGCAAGCGUUAUCCGGAUUUACUGGGUGUAAAGGGCGUGUAGGCGGGACUGCAAGUCAGAUGUGAAAACCACGGGCUCAACCUGUGGCCUGCAUUUGAAACUGUAGUUCUUGAGUACGGGAGAGGCAGACGGAAUUCCUAGUGUAGCGGUGAAAUGCGUAGAUAUUAGGAGGAACACCAGUGGCGAAGGCGGUCUGCUGGACAGCAACUGACGCUGAGGCGCGAAAGCGUGGGGAGCAAACAGGAUUAGAUACCCUGGUAGUC
rnacentral:rRNA from 1 species